ensembl:lncRNA
CAUUAUGUAUGUGACUGUGUAGCGUUUGCAGAUGGACCGCUUCCCAAGUGUGCCGUGCGUGUCUGCGCGUGGGAUAGCAAGAUGCAGGCUACUUGCAGGGUCUCCGCCCGAGAAGCUGUCGGUAGAAACAUCUAACCCAGUUUCCAUCCACCUCCUGCUUCCGAGGGUGGUCGUCUCAGCCUUGCCGUCUGUCACCAGAAGAUGGCACUGCAGCCAAGUCAUCAUGCUACGCUGCCACCAAUUCCAGCUGCCAGCUCUGGCUGCCAAAGAGAAAAGUGCAAAUGUAUUUGUUUCACCCAGGCUCUGAGGGCUUUUUCAGCUUGUGUUCAGAGGCCAGAUGCAGUAUGUGACACGGAGAGAGAAUAUCAAUACCCAAUAUGCUCACAGGACAGCGGCCGACGGCUCAGAGUCCUCCAAGCACAGAGUGGCGAUUCCCCUUUUAGAGUCGCUCCCUAUUCAAAUUACACUCUUGUCGCCCUGAAAAGCACAAAUGAUCAUGGC